GUCCAGACUCCUACGGGAGGCAGCAGGGGGGAAUAUUGCACAAUGGGGGAAACCCUGAUGCAGCGACGCCGCGUGAGUGAAGAAGUAUCUCGGUACGUAAAGCUCUAUCAGCAGGGAAGAAAAUGACGGUACCUGACUAAGAAGCCCCGGCUAACUACGUGCCAGCAGCCGCGGUAAUACGUAGGGGGCAAGCGUUAUCCGGAUUUACUGGGUGUAAAGGGAGCGUAGACGGCGAUACAAGUCUGAAGUGAAAGCCCGGGGCUCAACCCCGGGACUGCUUUGGAAACUGUGUUGCUGGAGUGCUGGAGAGGCAAGCGGAAUUCCUAGUGUAGCGGUGAAAUGCGUAGAUAUUAGGAAGAACACCAGUGGCGAAGGCGGCUUGCUGGACAGUAACUGACGUUGAGGCUCGAAAGCGUGGGGAGCAAACAGGAUUAGAUACCCCAGUACG
rnacentral:rRNA from 1 species